rnacentral:rRNA from 1 species
GACGAACGCUGGCGGCGUGCUUAACACAUGCAAGUCGAACGAAGUGGCGAACGGGUGAGUAACGCGUAAUCAACCUGCCCUUCAGAGGGGGACAACAGUUGGAAACGACUGCUAAUCCCGCAUCCUGCAGGAGGGGAUUGCGUCUGAUUAGCUGGUUGGGGGGGUAACGGCCCACCAAGGCGAUGAUCAGUAGCCGGUCGGAGAGGAUGAACGGCAACAGUGGGACUGAGACACGGCCCAGACUCAUACGGGAGGAAGCAGUGGGGAAUCUUCCGCAAUGGACGAAAGUCUGACGGAGCAACGCCGCGUGAGUGAUGACGGCCGUCGGGUUGUAAAGCUCUGUUAAUCGGGACGCGGUACCGGAAUAGAAAGCCACGGCUAACUACGUGCCAGCAGCCGCGGUAAUAC